rnacentral:rRNA from 1 species
ACGCUCGACACCUACGGAGGCAGCAGUGGGGAAUAUUGCACAAUGGGGGAAACCCUGACGCAGCGACGCCGCGUGAGUGAAGAAGUAUUUCGGUAUGUAAAGCUCUAUCAGCAGGGAAGAAGAUGACGGUACCUGAGUAAGAAGCCCCGGCUAACUACGUGCCUGCAGCCGCGGUAAUCUGAGCGGCUGGCAAGGC